ACCUCGGUGGUGUAGUGGUAGAGCACGCGUCCUUGGAUAGGAUGCAACGUGGAUUCGAUUCUCGCCUGAGGCC